rnacentral:rRNA from 1 species
UACGUAGGGACCAAGCGUUGUUCGGAUUUACUGGGCGUAAAGGGCGCGUAGGCGGCAAUUCAAGUCAUCUGUGAAAUCUCCGGGCUUAACCCGGAACGGUCAGGUGAUACUGUUUUGCUAGAGUGCGGAAGGGGCAAUCGGAAUUCUCGGUGUAGCGGUGAAAUGCGUAGAUAUCUGGAGGAACACCGGUGGCGAAGGCGGCAUCCUGGACCAACACUGACGCUGAGGAGCGAAAGCCAGGGGAGCAAACGGG